rnacentral:rRNA from 1 species
GAUGAACGCUGGCGGCGUGCCUAAUACAUGCCAGUCGAGCGAACGGACGAGAAGCUUGCUUCUCUGAUGUUAGCGGCGGACGGGUGAGUAACACGUGGAUAACCUACCUAUAAGACUGGGAUAACUUCGGGAAACCGGAGCUAAUACCGGAUGAUAUUUUGAACCGCAUGGUUCAAAAGUGAAAGACGGUCUUGCUGUCACUUAUAGAUGGAUCCGCGCUGCAUUAGCUAGUUGGUAAGGUAACGGCUUACCAAGGCAACGAUGCAUAGCCGACCUGAGAGGGUGAUCGGACACACUGGAACUGAGACACGGUCCAGACUCCUACGGGAGGCAGCAGUAGGGAAUCCUCCGCAAUGGGCGAAAGCCUGACGGAGCAACGCCGCGUGAGUGAUGAAGGUCUUCGGAUCGUAAAACUCUGUUAUUAGGGAAGAACAUAUGUGUAAGUAACUGUGCACAUCUUGACGGUACCUAAUCAGAAAGCCACGGCUAACUACGUG